GUGAAAUGCUCUGUAAACAACAGGUGUAGACUAACAGUGAAAUGCUCUGUAAACAACAGGUGUGGACUAACAGUGAAAUGCUUGGUAAACAACAGGUGUAGACUAACAGUGAAAUGCUUUGUAAACAACAGGUGUAGACUAACAGUGAAAUGCUUGGUAAACAACAGGUGUAGACUAACAGUGAAAUGCUUGGUAAACAACAGGUGUAGACUAACAGUGAAAUGCUUGGUAAACAACAGAUGUAGACUAACAGUGAAAUGCUUGGUAAACAACAGGUGUAGACUAACAGUGAAAUGCUUGGUAAACAACAGGUGUAGACUAACAGUGAAAUGCUUGGUAAACAACAGGUGUAGACUAACAGUGAAAUGCUUGGUAAACAACAGAUGUAGACUAACAGUGAAAUGCUUGGUAAACAACAGGUGUAGACUAACAGUGAAAUGCUUGGUAAACAACAGGUGUAGACUAACAGUGAAAUGCUUGGUAAACAACAGAUGUAGACUAACAGUGAAAUGCUUGGUAAACAACAGGUGUAGACUAACAGUGAAAUGCUUGGUAAACAACAGGUGUAGACUAACAGUGAAAUGCUUGGUAAACAACAGGUGUAGACUAACAGUGAAAUGCUUGGUAAACAACAGGUGUAGACUAACAGUGAAAUGCUUGGUAAACAACAGGUGUAGACUAACAGUGAAAUGCUUGGUAAACAACAGGUGUAGACUAACAGUGAAAUGCUUUGUAAACAACAGGUGUAGACUAACAGUGAAAUGCUUGGUAAACAACAGGUGUAGACUAACAGUGAAAUGCUUUGUAAACAACAGGUGUAGACUAACAGUGAAAUGCUUGGUAAACAACAGGUGUAGACUAACAGUGAAAUGCUUUGUAAACAACAGGUGUAGAC